rnacentral:rRNA from 1 species
UACGUAGGGUGCGAGCGUUGUCCGGAAUUAUUGGACGUAAAGAGCUCGUAGGCGGUGUGUCACGUCGGCCGUGAAAACCUGCAGCUUAACUGUGGGCGUGCGGUCGAUACGGGCAUCACUGGAGUUCGGCAGGGGAGACUGGAAUUCCUGGUGUAGCGGUGAAAUGCGCAGAUAUCAGGAGGAACACCGGUGGCGAAGGCGGCAUCCUGGACCGACACUGACGCUGAGGAGCGAAAGCCAGGGGAGCAAACGGG